CAGGGUUCGAUUCCGGAGAGGGAGCCUGAGAAACGGCUACCACAUCCAAGGAGGGCAGCAGGCGCGCAAAUUACCCACUCCCGGCACGGGGAGGUAGUGACGAUAAAUAACGAUACGGGACUCAUCCGAGGCCCCGUAAUUGGAAUGAGCAUACUCUAAAGCCUUGUGCGAGUAUCAAUUGGAGGGUAAGUCUGGUGCCAGCAGCCGCGGUAAUUCCAGCUCCAAUAGCGUAUAUUAAAGUUGUUGCGGUUAAAAAGCUCGUAGUCCGCAUUGUGUCUCGCCCCGUCGGUACACCGCCUGCCGGUGCUUAACUGGCGCGCGAGCGAGACGUCGUGCCGGUCGGUGUCGGUCGGUCGGCCAACGCGGCGAGCUACCCUCCGGCUCUCGGGCCGUGGUACGCGAGCCGCAGGCCGUUCGGCCGCCCUUCAAAUCCCGUCGCGGUGCUCUUAAACAAGUGUCGAGGCGGGCCGGCAAUAUUACUUUGAACAAAUUAGUGUGCUUAAAGCAGGCUCAGGUUCGCCUGGAUACAUGUGCAUGGAAUAAUGGAAUAGGACCUAGGUUCUAUUUCGUUCGGUUUUAGGACCGUAGGUAAUGAUCAACGGGAACGGGCGGGGGCAUUCGUAUUGCUACGUUAGAGGUGAAAUUCUUGGAUCGUAGCAAGACGGACGUAAGCGAUAGCAUUUGCCAAGUACGUUUCCGUCGAUCAAGAACGAAAGUUAGAGGUUCGAAGGCGAUCAGAUACCGCCCUAGUUCUAACCAUAAACGAUGCCUGCCAGCGAUCCGCCGAUGUUCCUAAGAUGACACGGCGGGCAGCUUCCGGGAAACCAGAGCUUUCGGGUUCCGGGGGAAGUAUGGUUGCAAAGCUGAAACUUAAAGGAAUUGACGGAAGGGCACCACCAGGAGUGGAGCCUGCGGCUUAAUUUGACUCAACACGGGAAAACUCACCAGGCCCGGACACCGCAAGGAUUGACAGAUUGAUAGCUCUUUCUUGAUUCGGUGGGUGGUGGUGCAUGGCCGUUCUUAGUUCGUGGAGUGAUUUGUCUGGUUAAUUCCGAUAACCGAGCGAGACUCUAGCCUACUAACUAGGCGGACCGGUAUCCACAAUCGUGCUACCGGCGAGCCAAUAUCUUCUUAGAGGGACAGGCGGCUUCUAGCCGCACGAGACUGAGCAAUAACAGGUCUGUGAUGCCCUUAGAUGUCCUGGGCAGCACGCGCGCUACACUGAAGGAAUCAGCGUGUCUUCCCUGUCCGAGAGGACCGGGUAACCCGCUGAACCUCCUUCGUGCUUGGGAUUGGGGCUUGCAAUUGUUCCCCAUGAACGAGGAAUUCCCAGUAAGCGCUAGUCAUAAGCUGGCGUUGAUUACGUCCCUGCCCUUGUACACACCGCC
rnacentral:rRNA from 1 species